rnacentral:rRNA from 2 species
GAUUUCUGGGCUCAAGAAUUUGGCCGGCCACGGUUUCGUGUGUUAGUGCUUUGUUCUGUGUCCAUCCUUCCAAUUGCUAUUGGCUAUUCUUCAUUGAUUGGUCAGUAGUAUUGGAUCUUUUACUUUGAAAAAAUUAGAGUGUUUCAAGCAGGCUUUAUGCUAUGAAUACAUUAGCAUGGAAUAAUAAUUUAGGACUUUGGCCCUAUUUUGUUGGUUUCUAGGACUGAAGUAAUGAUUGAUAGGGAUAGUUGGGGGUGCUCGAAUUCAGCGGCCAGAGGUGAAAUUCUUGGAUUCGCUGAAGACGAACUCAUGCGAAAGCAUU